UUUAGGUAAUUAAUAAAGAAAUUUUAAUUAGGGCUGAGCAAAACAAACCAACCCGACCUGAAAUAAGCGGGUUUGGGUUAAGUUUUUCAACCCGUUUAGUUAAACAGGUUGACCUUAUUAAACCGUUUAAUUAAAUGGGUUAAGUUCAGGCCAGAUUUUUAAACCUUAAAAUAACCCACCUAAACCCGUUUAAUAAAAUAAGGGUGAUAUUUCAAAUUCCAACUCUCUUUACUUGUUCGAUUUUUCUUUUGCAUGGGCCAAGCCCGAACGUCCAACCUAAAUAAGCUAAAACAAGGCUGAUAUUUUGCCCUAACCUAACCUGAUAAGCAAACUCACCAUUCUCCCUCAUAAUCCACCGCUUCACACCAUUUUCUUCAUUUCUUCAUUUCUCCAGUAAGUAGUAAACUAGUAACUUGUCUCCCUCAUUUUGCUUUUCAUCUUCUUCUUUGUCCUUGUUAUAUAAUUGUUAUUUUAAUGCUUUUUUUUUCCUUUUUUCUCCAAUUUUAGUUAAAGCCUCCAAGUUGAAGCAACAUUAUCAGGUAUUUCUUCUUCUUUAUCAUUUAUUCUGCUAUUUUUGGUAUUUUUUAUGUCGAAUUAUAGAUUUUUCGAAUUUGUUUUGCUUAUUUUUAUAUUCUUUGUGUCGAAUUUUUUGAGUAAUUUUAUACUUAUAUAAGUUAAAAAAUUUAUAUUUUCUGCUAAUAUUGAAUGUUAAAUCUUUUAAAACUUAAUUAUUUUUAUAGGAUUGUUAAAACUUAAUAUUACUGGUUAACAUUCGACUAUUUAUGUUCGAUUGUGUUUUUACCUUUUAGUUGUGGCGUAUGAAACGUUUUUUGAUCUAAUUGAAGUUGAUUCUAGAGAAGAGGAAGUUCAGGAAGAGGUUCAAAACACUGAGAAAUCUGGGAAGCAAGAGACAAAGAGAAGUGUCGUCCUUAAACCUAUUUUGCUUGGUGAGAAUUGUAAACGUGAACGUUGAAUAACUUCUAGUGUAUGGGUGCAUUAUGACUUUCUUGAUGAAGCUGAUGAAAAUAGUAACUUAAGAUGCAAAUGUAAAAAAUGUGGUCAAUCUUUCAAUGCUGGUAGUAAGAUGGGGACUGGUAAUUUAAAACGUCAUUUGAAAACUUGCAAGAUGAUAAGGUUUAGGGAUGUUGGUCAAAUGAUUCUUGAGAAAACAUCUUCUGGUUCAAAGAAUAUAUUGCCUAAGUUUGAUGCUAAUGAUUUUCGUGAAUUGUUAGCUCUUGCAAUUGUUAGGCAUGACCUACCUUUCCAAUUUGUUGAGUAUGAAGCGAUUAGGAGGUAUUUCAACUACUUGCAUCCCAAUGCUAAAUGUGUUUCACGAUUCACAAUUAAGACUGAUGUUAUGAAAACGUUUAAAAGGGAGAAAGAUAGAUUAAAGGAUGAAUUGAGGUUGGAUUCUGGUAAGAUUAACAUCAGAUUGUUGGACUUCUAUAACAAACGAUGGUUAUAUCUCCUUAACUGCCCACUUUGUAAACAAUCAAUGGUGUCUUUACAAGAAAAUUUUGAACUUUUCUUUCAUGCCUCCUCCUCAUAUCGGAGUUCACUUGUGUGAUUAAGUUUGUAGUAUGUUGAAGGAUUGGGGGAUCCAAAAAGUAAUUGUUUUCUAUUACCUUAGAUAAUGCUUAUUCUAAUGAUGUUUUUGUUUAAAAUCUAAAGGGUGAACUUGACUUGUCUUGUAGGGGGGGGGGGAUUUUUCCACGUUAGAUGUUGUGCUCAUAUCUUGAGUCUAGUGGUACAUGAUGGCUUGAAAGAGAUUCAUGAGGUUGUUCUUAAGGUGAGGGAGAUUGUUAAGUAUUGUAAAGGAUCUCAAGCACGAAAACAGCGAUUUUAGAGCUGUGUUGCACACGUGGAAUUAGAGAGUUAUAAAGGAUUGAAGCAAGACGUGCCACUAGAUGGAAUUCCACAUAUUUGAUGCUAGAGAGUACUUUAUACUAUAAAAAAUCUUUUAAUCAUUUUAAGAAAGUUGAUGCUAAUUAUAUUCAUUGUCCACUUAUGGAAGAGUGAGUGAGGGUUGAAAAGAUAUUCAAGUUCUUGAAAGUUUUUUUUUUAUGAAGUCGCGGUUGCUUUUUCUGGUUCAAAAUACCCAACCGCCAAUUUGUGCUUCCCUAAUGUUCUGAAAGUGAGAUUAUUGUAAAAAGAUGAAAUGGCUAGUUCUGAUAAUUUCAUGCAAAGAAUGGUAACAAGGAUGUUUGAAAAGUUUGGGAAAUAUUGGUAAGAGUUCAGCACAAUCAUGGCAAUUGUUGUGGUAUUAGAUCCUCGUUUCAAGAUGCAAUUUCUAAAAUGGAGCUUUAACAAAGUGUAUGGGUUUGGUGCUGAUUAUGAGAGUGAGUUAUUCAAGGUUAAGGACAGGUUGCAGCACUUGUAUCAUGGCUAUGCUAUGUCAUCAGUUUCAGCAGCAACCAACAACGCUGCUGGAUGUCAAUUUGCUCAAGCUACUUGUGAUGGCACAUCUGAUGAAUUCAUGAUUGAUUUUGAUGAAUUCUCCAACGAGCAAAAUAGUGAAGCAGUCAAUUUGGUUCCAUACCUUGAGGAGCCUUUGAUGCCUCGUUCAAGUAACAUUGAUAUUGUGAGUUAUUGGAGGACCCAUGAAGUUCGGUAUCCCAUAGUUGAAAGAUGGCCAAGGACUUCCUAACGAUUCCCAUGUCAAUAGUGGCCUCGGAGUCUGCAUUCAGUACUGGUGGGCGUAUUUUGGAUUGCUAUAAAAGUUCUUUGAAGCCGAAACUGUGGAGGCUAUAAUAUGUCUUAGAGAUUGGGCUUUCGGUGAUGCAAAACUGGAACCCCAAAUGAAGGACUUAUGUGACCACAUAAUGAGCUUAAAAGUAGAAUAAGCAGAUGAUACUCCCUGCUCGUCUCCAAGUCCCAUUGUUGGAAGUCCACAACUCUCUUCAUCCAUACUCUAAGUGGGUGUUUGCUGUUGUUUAUUAUAAUGGAUUGCUAAUUAAUGGCCUUUGGGUCUAAACUUUGGUCUGUAAUAACUUAGAACUUAGUAUGUUUUUUUUACUUUUUGUGUGUGUUUAACACUUUUGUGGGUGCUACUGAAAACCCAAACUUAUUAGUUAUUAUUAAUGUAUGAUUUUGCAUAUCUAAAAUUCUGGUUACUAAUUUUACGGUAAAUGACCAAUUAAUGUCUGAAUUUAAUUAAUGGGAAAAAGGGUCAAAAAUCAGGUUAUUGGGCAGAUCAGGUCCGGGCUGACCUGAUCUGCCAUAGUUUAGGUUCAGGUUUCAAUUUUAAACUCGUUUAAGCAAACAGAUCAGGUUUAAGUUCAAGGGGUAACAACCCGUUUAUAGCCAACUAGAACCCGAACCUGACCUGACCU